UAGUUCAGUCGGUAGAACGGCGGACUGUUAAUCCGUAUGUCACUGGUUCGAGUCCA
rnacentral:tRNA from 12 species